rnacentral:rRNA from 1 species
ACGAACGCUGGCGGCGUGCUUAACACAUGCAAGUCGAACGGUGAAGCGCCUUCCUUUUUGGUGGGUGUGGAUGAGUGGCGAACGGGUGAGUAACACGUGAGUAACCUGCCCCCUUCUUCUGGAUAACCGCAUGAAAGUGUGUCUAAUACGGGAUAUUCUGGGUCUGUCGCAUGAUGGGUCUGGGAAAGAUAUUGUUUCGGUGGGGGAUGGGCUCGCGGCCUAUCAGCUUGUUGGUGGGGUGAUGGCCUACCAAGGCGGUGACGGGUAGCCGGCCUGAGAGGGUGGACGGUCACACUGGGACUGAGACACGGCACAGACUCCUACGGGAGGCAGCAGUGGGGAAUAUUGCACAAUGGGCGCAAGCCUGAUGCAGCGACGCCGCGUGAGGGAUGGAGGCCUUCGGGUUGUGAACCUCUUUCGCCAGUGAAGCAGGCCUGCCUCGUUUGUGGGUGGGUUGACGGUAGCUGGAUAAGAAGCGCCGGCUAACUACGUG